ACAAGCAUAGCUCAGUGGGGAGAGCAGCAGAGCCCAGCACUGCGGGUCAGAGGUUCGAUUCCUCUUGUCUGUC
rfam:Naegleria gruberi genomic scaffold NAEGRscaffold_69, whole genome shotgun sequence.